GGGCGAAUGGUCUAGGGGUAUGAUUUUCCCUUCGCAUCUUGCAUCAAGAUGAUUGGGAAAGGUCCGGGGUUCAAAUCCCCGUUCGUCCA